rnacentral:lncRNA from 1 species
UAGUAGAAAACCAUAGGGGGAAACACCAGUAAUUAGACAGAACAGAAUACAAUUGCUUUUUUAAAAGUUAUUUUGAUCCCUGGUGGUCAAAUGAAAAACAUGAUCAUGGGAGGCCAUGGAAGGUGAGCCGUCGAUAUUCCGAAGGGAAGCCGGGAUCCGUCCAAGGGCGUUCGAGAUAAAAGGAGGAGCAAAGGCCACGUCGGGGACAUGAUACUCUGAGGAGGAAGUCCCAGAGCAGACUUUGGCUCAACUCUAAGGGCAGGGUAGGUCCCAGCAUACGCUGUCGUUCACCACUUUGGAAGGACGGGAGCCUGCUGAGGGGUAACAGGGCGUUUAUUACCACAGCAUGUCUUAGGCAAGCACCUAAAAUGAUCACAAGCUUCAGUAUGUUUAAUAAGCUUUUAUUUCAAUACAAGGCAAACAAAUCAAGGAAUUUUUAUGCAGUUUAGUAAGAACAGAAGUAGAAAUUGGAAAUUUAGACAGUUGGAUUAGUUUUAUUUACAGAGUGAGAUCUGUCUGUUUCCCUCUGGUGGUGACUGGCACCGUUUAAAAGAAUCUGCGGAAUUCCUAACCGUGACAGACGCUGAUACUGCUGGGGACACAAGACCCUCUUGGCCAGCGUCAGCUCAAGGCACCUCCUCGCCUGCCGACAGUGGCAUGGAGACUGGGGGCUGUGGCAUUGGGGGUGGCUCCAGGGCCUGGGACCCUGGCUCCUGAGCGGGUGCGCCACCCUCAGUGUGGGGGAGGACGAGGGAGUGGACACCCACCCAAGGGGGUGACGGGACAGGCUUCCUAAACCACUGGAGCUCUGAGGCUCCUGGCAUAUCCCUCCCACGGGGCUGCAUCUCCGGUGCCUCCCCUCCCCUCCUGUGUUCCACCCACCCUGCCCUGUUCUGGGUGUCUGCAGCUCCGCCACACCUGGUACAAAUAUCUGCCUUGCUCUGCUGUACCCAACAGCUCUGAGAUUUUUAGGAAGCGAAGGGGCAGAAGAAGCGACUCACAAGCUCCUGGAGCCGUGUUGGGAGGGGCCCUCGGGGCCCCUGGAGUGGAGAGACACACCCAGAGGCUUUCCAGCCACCCAGGGAGGAGGCGCGGUGGCUGGGAUUUGGAGACAGCUGUGGAGGGAGCAGCUGGAAUGGCCCCACAGGCUACAGCCCGUGUCGGUGUGGGAUGCGAGGGAGAGGAGCCAGGAUGGCCCCACAUGCUUUCCUUGGCUGCCUGGGCGGGUGCAGCAGCCACCUGAGAGGGCCGUCUGAGGACACGAGGCGGCAUCAGCCUCAUGAGAUCUGGGAUGUGCACGGGACGUCCAUGAAGCCGUCGGAGAUGAUUUGGAGUAGUUUACAAAGGUUAACAAAGUUCAGGGAGUCAGGGACCAGACGUCCUCACUUCCCCCAACCCCAGUCCAGUUGUACAUGUUGUGCACUGCACAAGGGCCCUGGCAGAGGACCAAGUUGGAGUUGAAAUCCAGCCAUGGCAUGGCCCUGUGGGCUGCACACAGCAUAUGGAGGCUGCACUGGUCAGCAGCUGCUCAGCCUGAGAGAGAUCCUGGAGCCCCAUGUGGCAUCUCUGGGUCUGAAUUCUCUCUUGACACAAAGAGGACACCUCCUUGGUCGUUGCUAAGGAAUUUGAACAGAGGAGGGCCCUGCAAGUUCCCAGCGCCAUGCACUGUGCAGCCGAGCCCAACACCCGGAAGCUGCUGUCAGCUGGUCCCUCGGACACUACUGUGGGCUGGUUUGACCUCUUGGGCCCUCACUGCUCAGAGCUGCAAGGUGGCUUCAUCACUUUCUUCUGUGCAGUCCCAGCCUUCCAGAUGGUCAGAGACUGCUGGUGCCUCCCUCCACCAUCCCGUUGCUGUCCCCCAGGGCCUCAUCUCUGGGACUUCUCUACCCUACCAUCCCUCACAUUGACACAAAUGUGUACACAGAAGCACACAUGCACACACACAUACAUGCAUGUGCACAGAUGAACACACAGACACACACGCACACACAUGCACAUGCAUGCAAAGACAUGCACACAUGCAUGCACACACACACAUGCACAUGCACAGAUGAACACACAGACACACACACGCACAUGCAUGCACACAGACACACAUGCAUAUACAUGCACAGAGAUGCACACAUAUACACACAGACAUGCACACACACAUGCUACAGCAUGUGCACACAGACACACACACCCUGCACACCCCAAGCCUCGUCUGCUGUCUCUGCUGUGCCUGCUUCCCUUAGCCCCUGAUACCACCUUCCCCAGGUCUCCCAACUGCCCUGCCUGGACACAGAGAGGGGUCCUGUGAAGUCAGGCCUUGAAGGAGUGGGCGUCUCUCAGCCCCUCUGGAAGCCUCGCACCAGGACUGUCCCCUCUCCCGCAGAGCAUUCAGGACCAGCAGCCCUCAGCCCUGCAGUCUCCAGACCUGGUUCUGGGGAGCUUGGGGAGCUGGGGA